UGGCGGCGUGCCUAAUCAUGCAAGCUCGAGCGAAGAGAUGGGAGCUUGCUCCCUGAUCUUAGCGGCGGACGGGUGAGUAACACGUGGGCAACCUGCCCUGCAGACUGGGAUAACUCCGGGAAACCGGAGCUAAUACCGGGUAAUACAUCGCACCGCAUGGUGCAAUGUUGAAAGUUGGCUUUCUGAGCUAACACUGCAGGAUGGGCCCGCGGCGCAUUAGCUAGUUGGUAAGGUAAUGGCUUACCAAGGCGACGAUGCGUAGCCGACCUGAGAGGGUGAUCGGCCACACUGGGACUGAGACACGGCCCAGACUCCUACGGGAGGCAGCAGUAGGGAAUCUUCCGCAAUGGACGAAAGUCUGACGGAGCAACGCCGCGUGAGUGACGAAGGCCUUCGGGUCGUAAAGCUCUGUUGUUAGGGAAGAACAAGUACCGUUCGAAUAGGGCGGUACCUUGACGGUACCUAACCAGAAAGCCACGGCUAACUACGUGCCAGCAGCCGCGGUAAUACGUAGGUGGCAAGCGUUGUCCGGAAUUAUUGGGCGUAAAGCGCGCGCAGGCGGUCUUUUAAGUCUGAUG
rnacentral:rRNA from 1 species